AACAGGAUUAGAUACCCUGGUAGUCCACGCUGUAAACGAUGUCGAUUUGGAGGUUGUGCCCUUGAGGCGUGGCUUCCGGAGCUAACGCGUUAAAUCGACCGCCUGGGGAGUACGGCCGCAAGGUUAAAACUCAAAUGAAUUGACGGGGGCCCGCACAAGCGGUGGAGCAUGUGGUUUAAUUCGAUGCAACGCGAAGAACCUUACCUACUCUUGACAUCCAGAGAACUUCCCAGAGAUGGAUUGGUGCCUUCGGGAACUCUGAGACAGGUGCUGCAUGGCUGUCGUCAGCUCGUGUUGUGAAAUGUUGGGUUAAGUCCCGCAACGAGCGCAACCCUUAUCCUUUGUUGCCAGCGGUUCGGCCGGGAACUCAAAGGAGACUGCCAGUGAUAAACUGGAGGAAGGUGGGGAUGACGUCAAGUCAUCAUGGCCCUUACGAGUAGGGCUACACACGUGCUACAAUGGCGUAUACAAAGAGAAGCGACCUCGCGAGAGCAAGCGGACCUCAUAAAGUACGUCGUAGUCCGGAUUGGAGUUUGCAACUUGACUCCAUGAAGUCGGAAUCGCUAGUAAUCGUAGAUCAGAAUGCUACGGUGAAUACGUUCCCGGGCCUUGUACACACCGCCCGUCACACCAUGGGAGUGGGUUGCAAAAGAAGUAGGUAGCUUAACCUUCGGGAGGGCGCUUACCACUUUGUGAUUCAUGACUGGGGUGAAGUCGUAACAAGGUAACC
rnacentral:rRNA from 1 species